GGUUUCUCAUGGAAACAAUCAGUCGUAACCAAGGACUCCAGCUCGCAACUCCUGUUUCCUGUGUUCUGUCAGUAAAAUAAAAGAAAUCAUGGGAAUUAUUCGAAUCUGCUUCUUGAUGAUGAUGACGGUGAUCCUCUUCCUGGCAGCUCUACCUCGAGUGGAGGCACCACCACCACGUCCACCCCAUCACUGCAUUCUGUGUCGAGGAUAAAAUGGAAUUCACCGGCGAUCGAUUAUUAAAUGGAAAAUGAUGUUCAAUUAUUCUGAUUGUUUUACACAAUUCAGUUAUUCAAUGCUUUAAUUAGAAAAUGUAGUGAUUGCGAGGAAUUUAAUUAGUGGAAAAAUCAUAAUGGAGAUGUUCACGAGAAUUAAUUUUCUCUUAGAAUUUUCAUAAAUAUUUGCAAAUUA